CAGCCGCCGCGGUAAUACAGAGGGUGCAAGCGUUAAUCGGAAUUACUGGGCGUAAAGCGCGCGUAGGUGGUUUGUUAAGUUGGAUGUGAAAGCCCCGGGCUCAACCUGGGAACUGCAUCCAAAACUGGCAAGCUAGAGUACGGUAGAGGGUGGUGGAAUUUCCUGUGUAGCGGUGAAAUGCGUAGAUAUAGGAAGGAACACCAGUGGCGAAGGCGACCACCUGGACUGAUACUGACACUGAGGUGCGAAAGCGUGGGGAGCAAACAGGAUUAGAUACCCCGGUAGUCCCUGUCUCUUACAC
rnacentral:rRNA from 1 species